AGAAGGGAGGAAAAGGAGCGGGAGAAAGCGAGCAGGCAGGCAGGCAGUGGCAGCUCUCGCACGCACACCCCCGCCGGAAAAGCAAACACAUCGGUGAAGCCAGAGCCGGGCAGAGAGGGCUGCGGGGCACGCUGGCCGCGGGCUGUGCCGAGGAGCUGGGGGAGCUGGGGGAAGCCAGGUAGGACCGGAGACCACCCAAAAAGCAGGGGGGGGCAUCCGGCUCCCGGCUUCCCCGCUCGCCCCCCCCCCCCGCAUCCCCCUCGAAGCCGCGGAGUCCCCUCCUCCCGGGAGCUGCGGCCCGUCCCCGGGGGACGGCGGCGGCGGCUCCGCGGGGAGCUGGGGAUGGCGGGGGCUCGGCCCGGGCCGCGGGAAACUUCGGCGGGGAGCGGCGGGCCUUGCCCCGGGGCGGGCGGGGGAGCAGCGAGCGGAGUUUGGCGGGCGAGAAAGCGGCAGGCACGGCAGGAGAAGCCGCAGGAGCGGGGCGGGGGGGAGCGGAGGGCGGCGGGACCUCGCGGCUUUCCCCGCGGGCUGCUCUCGCCCGCCAGCCCGGAGCCCCCCUCCCUGCCCCGGCGGCGCUCCGAGCCCUGCCCGCAGCCACAGGCUCCGAGCGAAAGCGAAACGCGGGUCUGCCGGCGGCGGGGCGGCGCGGGCAGCGGGCUGGCACCGGGGGAGGGCGGGAGAGGGGGGGAGCCGAGGCGGCGGGAGGCACCGAGAAGUGGCUGGAGUUGGGAGGAUGCGGCGGCGGCGGCGGCGGCUGCAACUUCGCCGAAAGGACCCGGAGCGAGGCGAGCGCUGCCGGCACCGCGAGGGAUCAGGUUGCGGUAGAAUUACGCUGCGGAGGCGAUCGGGCGUGCGGAGCAAAGUGAGGCGGCGAAGGGAGUGCGAGGGGAUAACCGUGCCCGGGACGGCGGCGGAGAGCCGGAGCGGAGCGCCGGGCGGGAGCCCCCGGGGAGCGAGGAGCUGCCCGCCGCCGUAAGAGACACUUCGCCGGGCAGAGCCGCGGCCGCCCCGGGGAGCGAGGGGCGGGCGGGGGCCGGGGCUCGGCGGGGACCUGUUGGCGAGGCGAGCCCGAGGCGCACCGGCGGAGCUGUCAGGGGCCGGGCCGCUCCGCCGUGCGAUGGUUUCAGCUUCCCGCCAGCCGGCCCCCCAAACACCCCCCGGCUCCGCCCGCCGCCGCUCAGCCCCCCGCUCCCCUCCUUUAUAGAGCGGCGCGGGGAUGCGCCCCGCGGUGCCGGGGCGCGGUGCGGCCGCAGAUGCGGGACGUGGCGGGGGGACCCGGCCGCAGGUGACAACAGCGGCGGCUCCGGGGCUCACGCCGCUCGCAGGGCUGGCUGUGCACAUGUCCCUGCGCGAAACCCACAGAAACGGGCGUGCGUGCUUGUAGCGGAGAUGUAGAUAUAUGUGGGGGUUGAUUUAUAUCUAAUGGCACGUAUAAAGCUUUUGAAGGCGGCUGCAAUGUAAAAAGUAAUGACUUUAUUACCCCUGAAAGGUUCUGCGGUUCGCAGUUAACACUCCUCUGAAUUACAAUUCAUUACGCUCUCUAAAGCCAACCUGCAUCAGAACACCUACCUGUGCUUAUUCCCAGUCACAGGCAUCGUUUCAUUGAUUUUCUUUUAAAAAAUCAUAGCAAAUUAAGCACUUGGUGACAACUAAAUCUGUUUCAUUAUCGUGCCGUGUUUGAGAUUCCAGAGGUGACUUCCCAGACCGCAUCUCAAAACCUACAGUCAGAAGCUAAUUUUACAGAUGCUUUCAUGAAUGGCAGCGAGGAUGUUCCUACCAUCAGCAUGCCCUUAAUUCCAGCACCGUAAAAAUGCCUCGAAUUAAAUGGAAACUCGCUGCCUUAAAAAUAAUAUUUCAUCCUGGCUGGAUAAUUAUUAAUAUUAGCAUUUGAUCGCAAUAAGUGCUGGGCUCCCCCUCGUUCCUGUCUCCCCCCCCUCCCAGCGCUUCGCAUUGUCAUGUGAUUGGAGGGAGAUAACAAACCUCAAGAAAGAAAAGGAGUGAGAAGACAUUUUUAACACGGCAUGACCGCAGAUUAAUAAUGCAGUUUCAGGGAUUAAAAGUUUGAUCCUCCUGCCCACGUGAUGCUGUGCAAGCUGUCCCUGAUACAGAGCUAGCCUGAGAUCUGUGCGUGUCUUGAGACAUCCAAAUACAGCAGAUCAGCUAUCCUGCCCCAAACACUGCUCCUAUCAGCUGUGGAUCAGAGGGGAGAGAGCUUCUGGAACCAGGGAGCCAUUCAAACAAAUGGCCUGGUUCAGGCACGCGAAGGAGGAGAACUAGAAGAUCUUGGCUUGGAGUGAGUUUUGCAAGGAGCAGGAGAGCUGUGAAUUGUUAAAUUCCAUCCCGCAGGACAAGCACAUGUGAGAGAGUAACUCUGCAGUGCAGAAAUUGUCUUCACCUGCCUGCCUGAUGCUUUCUCCUCUCUGAAAGACCGACUUGUCGAAAGCAUCACUUAAUAACAACACGAGGAGCAGCUUUUCUGCUCCCUUGGAACUUGGCAGGAGUAUAAAUACACAGUGAGGGAAAAGAGGAAUCGAAAACUUGACAAUAGGAAAGGGAAAUACAAUGGCAUGAAGCGGCCUGCAUCCCCUCAUAUUUUAAUUUCCACCAAUGCCCCUGGCAGAGCUGGGCACAGCAAACCUCCUCGAGAUUGAUAUGCAAAGCGUGCGAGCUCCUUGCAAUAGCUGCACCAGAGAACACGCCCAGGUGUUCUACACCUCGCACACACAUCACCCCCAAGGUUUGAGAUUCAAAUCACCUGUCCUCCGUCUCUAAUAAGAAUGAAAUAUAGUAGGGGAAGUUUGAAUACAGCGGCUUGACAGAGCACGUCGCGUCUCACACCUCACACAUGAAAAAACCCGACGAGUGCACGAUCAAAAAGCAGCCACUCGUUUCCGUGGCACGAGAUUUUUCUGUUUCAAAGGGCAAAAACGUGUGGUGGGAGACAAGGGGAGCCUGAACCUUAAACUCCUGUGGCCCCUGAGAGUACAGCGUGAGGCCAGAUCAGAACUCCCUGCUAUGAGGAAGAUAUUCAGACGUUUUUAUGAGACUCACGGAUCUUCUUUCUGCUUUCAAGUGUGCAGGACAUAAGCAAAGCACAAGAAGCAGCGCUGCACUUCAAGUGGUCCUUCCCUCACGAAAAAGUUGCCAGAGCAGAACACCACCCUGGGGUGGAAGUUGUUGAUCUUGUCCUCUUAAGGGUUUGCCAGGGUUUCCAUUGUAAGCCUAAGCCAUCCCAGCCUAAGAUCCACAUCCUACAAAGAGUUUCUGGAGAAGCAGUGUGUCAGCCGGGUAGAUGACCACAUCUCCACAGAGCUGACAGGCCUGGUAGCUUUUUCAGCCUGUCCUGGGCCCAGAUUCUGGGAUGGAAAGUGUGUAGGCUUUGCCUCCGUGUUACAAAGCAGCCCACAACAGACAUCUGAUAAGCAGCUCCAAGUGAGAUGCAAACAAAGGACAGGGACUGGCAUUAAGGAACCACCACCCACAACAGGUUAGUUUGUUUCUGCUUGAAUGGCUUCCACUAUUGACACAAGGAUGGACAUUACCAGUUCAAGCCCUGCAGGAAGCUGUGCCCCUCCCUUAGCUGAAGGGUUAAAACUGACUCAAAAAGGUACAUUACAGCUCCAGGUGUCAGACUCAGAAAUAUUUGUAAAGCCAGAGACAGCAACUACUUCAAAAAUUGCCCCCACUUCCAAUUGGGAUGCUUUAAGAGGGUGCCAGAAGCCAAAUUCCAGGCAGCCUCAGGGAAAAGCCUCCAUGAAGGUACAUCAAGUAAGUCUCCAAAACUGCUACCUCAACAGGUGGUUGGUUUCUCUGGAGAGGCACCAGAGACUCUGGGGGGCCCUCUUCCUCCUGAGCUUGUCCUUCCUGAGAUCAGGGUGGUGGUAGAGGAAGACAGAAGAGGAAAACUUAAUGUGCCACUGCUUGUGCCAUGAUCUGUAGAUAACAUGAGGACUUUGCUCCUCAGGACUGUCCAUCUGGCGCCAUUCCUGAGCAAUAAAAGCUCACCCACAAAGUAUUUUAAAGCAAACAGUUGCUGUAAUGAAUACCUUAAUACUCCUAAUACAAUACCACAAAUAGUAACUACUAUAAAAUACCCACCCGGUGAAGAGAACCCAAGUUCACAGCCCAGCUCCUUCGGACAGCAGGACCCACAGAGGCUGUGGGUUCAUGUCACAAAGGGGUGGCUCCUUCUACCACUCCCCAGCCAUUCCCUGUGGCUAAUCCAGGCACCCCUGAACCCUUUCCAACACCAGAGGUGCUCCAACAACCCUUGGACCUAGUGAAAAGGUGAGGUGGCCACUGGAAAUGGGAAUGUGUGCAUAGGGAUGUGGGAUCAGGCAUCAAAUGUUCGGGGGGAGGAAAGAAAAAGAAAAAAGAUUCUACAGUUUACCACUUGUUUGUUUGUUUGUUUGUGAUCUCUGCACAGAUUCUCUCCCUGCCUUCUUCAAGUUUAGAAACCAGGGCCACUGAAACAGCCCCAAGAGCCAAAUGAUGAAUCUCUGAUUCAUCAGCACCCAUCACACACAAGCACUGAUUUCAUAAGAUACCUGGAACAAAAGCUCUUUAUCAUGUAAGAUCACAAUUUGUUUACCAGGGGCAUUAUUUAACCUGAGGAAUACAGGCAGAAAUCUGAAAUUCUGUCUUAAAUUUACUUUAUUAUGAUCUAUAUUAUUGUUCUUGAAGUUCUCUUUUUAGGUGACUUUUCAGUAGGUGGGCUCGAGCAACGCAGGACGAGAUGCUCUGAGGAGAGCUGCAUCCUAAGCUCUGAAUCCCUUGAUUUGAAUUUUGAUGACCAGAUUCACCCCUUUUUUCCCCUUUUGAAGAUGUUUACUAUAUGAAUGUAAAAUAAUUACUGAAACCAGAUGUAUAUAAGUACUGUACCUAAGGAAGGCUUAGAGUGUCUCAAAGAGAAAGAGCACUGAGUGGAAUCUUGUUUUGUUUGGGUUUUAGCAUAGUAUGCCAGUUAUUUCAUGCCAUUUUAUAUCAUUUUACCCUCAUGCUUCAACCUAAAAGGAAAACAGUAUCAGUUCAUAACCUCCUCUUUCUAGUCCAAUACAGGUAAAAAUUAGGUCUCUUACUCUUUUCAAAAUUAAGUGUACCUUCCACUAGUCUUAUGUCUUCUUAUUUCAUGAAGGCAGGUGCUGUUUGCUGUGUGUGGCUAUUUCAGCGAGCUAAAUAUUUAUUGAAAGCUCAAAGCAUUCACUGGCCUCAUUUUCUCUGGUUGUUCCAUUCAGAUUAAUAAACCCCUUUCCUACUUAAAAUGAAAAGAGAAUUCAGAAACGUUGAGCGUCAAGUGAAAAAAAAAAAAAAAAAGCAGCAAGAAAAUGACUAACAGAUACCAGCACCUUGCAUAUUUAUUUUGUCCUGUCAAUUAUUUUUAAAGGAUCCCUUGCUGAUGGAAGAAGAUUUUUUAAAAAAACCCGGACUAUCAAAUAAAGACGUCCACAAACA